UGGGGAAUUUUGGACAAUGGGGGCAACCCUGAUCCAGCAAUGCCGCGUGUGUGAAGAAGGCCUUCGGGUUGUAAAGCACUUUUGUCCGGAAAGAAAACCUCGUGGUUAAUACCCGUGGGGGAUGACGGUACCGGAAGAAUAAGCACCGGCUAACUACGUGCCAGCAGCCGCGGUAAUACGUAGGGUGCAAGCGUUAAUCGGAAUUACUGGGCGUAAAGCGUGCGCAGGCGGUUCGUUAAGACAGAUGUGAAAUCCCCGGGCUUAACCUGGGAACUGCAUUUGUGACUGGCGGACUCGAGUAUGGCAGAGGGGGGUAGAAUUCCACGUGUAGCAGUGAAAUGCGUAGAGAUGUGGAGGAAUACCGAUGGCGAAGGCAGCCCCCUGGGCCAAUACUGACGCUCAUGCACGAAAGCGUGGGGAGCAAACAGGAUUAGAUACCCUGGUAGUCCACGCCCUAAACGAUGUCAACUGGUUGUCGGGUCUUCAUUGACUUGGUAACGUAGCUAACGCGUGAAGUUGACCGCCUGGGGAGUACGGUCGCAAGAUUA
rnacentral:rRNA from 1 species